rnacentral:sRNA from 1 species
CGCCGGAAGCACCAAGUGGCGAAGACACAUUUAUAAUGGUGCUGACGAAAUGCCGCAGAAUGAAUAUGAGGUGGCGAUACCAAAC